ensembl:misc_RNA Metazoa_SRP Metazoan signal recognition particle RNA
GCUGGGUGUGGUGGUGCAUGCCUGUAGUCCCAGCUACUUAGGAGGCUGAGACAGGAGAAUUGCUUGAACCCAGGACGCAGAGGUUGCAGUGAGCCAAGAUCGUGCCACUGCAUUUCAGCCUGGGUGACAGAGUGAGACUCUGCCUUUC